UGGGGAAUAUUGGACAAUGGGCGCAAGCCUGAUCCAGCCAUGCCGCGUGAGUGAUGAAGGUCCUAGGGUUGUAAAGCUCUUUCACCGGUGAAGAUAAUGACGGUAACCGGAGAAGAAGCCCCGGCUAACUUCGUGCCAGCAGCCGCGGUAAUACGAAGGGGGCUAGCGUUGUUCGGAUUUACUGGGCGUAAAGCGCACGUAGGCGGACUUUUAAGUCAGGGGUGAAAUCCCGGGGCUCAACCCCGGAACUGCCUUUGAUACUGGAAGUCUUGAGUAUGGUAGAGGUGAGUGGAAUUCCGAGUGUAGAGGUGAAAUUCGUAGAUAUUCGGAGGAACACCAGUGGCGAAGGCGGCUCACUGGACCAUUACUGACGCUGAGGUGCGAAAGCGUGGGGAGCAAACAGG
rnacentral:rRNA from 1 species